AAUUAAUAUGAAACAAGGUCUUCAUGCAGAAAACAAUAGAUUUUUGUUGUUUAAACAUGACAUUUACAUGUAUUAGGCUUCUACUUAUAAGACAGAAUUAACACUGCUUCCCCGAGUAUAGUUGACUUAAUUUUAAACGUCAAUUUAAACAUUUUUCCACGCCCCCGUUUUACUGUUUGGCAAAUGAAAAUCGGAAAAAGGAAAUGCGCAGUUUGCGAGACUCGAACGGAAAACUGUUUGCCACGGUGUGCAGUACACGGAUCAUCGACCCAUUCGUUUCGUGUGUAACCACCGGAAUCCUUAGAAGCCGGUGAAACACGACGAUGAAAGGCUUGUGGGUGCUGGCAGCUAUUUCCCUGUACUGCGUUGGAGGGGCAGAAAGUGCAGGGUCAGCCAGAGGAUGCCAGGCCCAGCCCAACUGCAAAGAGUGCCUGAAGGUCCCUGGCUGUGCCUGGUGCUGGCAGCAGGACUUCCUGAAGGCUGGGGAGCCAAACGAGCGGAGGUGCGACACAGCCGAGGCUCUCAAGGAAAGGAAUUGUGGGGAGGGGAACGUGAUCAACCCACUGUCCCGCGUAGAAGUGCUGAAGAACAUCGACCUGCGGAGUAACUCUGAGAACGUGGUGCAGCUGCAGCCCCAGAGCCUCCACCUCAAGAUCCGUGUCGGAGUCCCAGAGACCUUUGAGGUGUGGUUCAAGAGGGCGGAAGGAUACCCCAUUGACCUGUACUACCUGAUGGACCUGUCCUUCUCCAUGAAGGAUGACCUGGAAAAGAUCAAGAACCUGGGUGAAGAGAUCCUCAAAGCCUUGAAGAUGGUCACACAGAAAGUCAGGAUUGGCUUUGGCUCCUUCGUGGACAAGGUAGCCUUGCCUUACGUCAGCCAGGUGAAGCGCAAGCUGGCCAACCCCUGCCCCAGCCGCAUGGACAGCUGCCAGCCAGCCUUCAGCUUCCACAACGUGCUGCGGCUCACCGACGAUGUGGCGGACUUCACCACCCGGGUCAGCAUGCAGAGGAUCUCGGGCAACCUGGACUCUCCUGAGGCUGGCUUUGAUGCCAUGAUGCAAGCGGCAGUCUGCCAGGAGGCUAUCGGCUGGAACAACGUCACCCGCAUCCUGGUCUACACCUCCGAUGACACCUUCCACAUGGCAGGCGAUGGCAGGCUGGCUGGCAUCUACCAGCCCAACGAUGGAAAAUGCCACCUCAACGCAGAUGGGUACUAUGACAAAGCCACUGAAUAUGACUACCCCUCGGUUGGCCGUCUGUCCAGGGCCCUCGCGGCCAACAACAUCCAGCUGAUCUUUGCUGUCACAGAUAAGAGUGUCCCCAGCUAUCAGGCUCUGAGCAAACUCAUCCCCAGGUCAGUGGUGGGAGUGCUGGAGGCUGACUCCAGUAAUGUGGUCCAGCUCAUCUCUGAGGCCUACGGGAACCUGUCAUCCACCAUCUUACUGGAGCACUUAAGUGCCCCCGAAGGACUGAACAUUUCCUACAGGUCCAAAUGCAGCAAUGGCGUCCACACGCCGUGGCUGAGGAACGGCGAGUGCAGCAACGUCAAGAUCAACGAGCAGGUGAAUUUCACCGUAAAGGUGACCGCCACCUCCUGCCUGCCCGGGGUAGAAACAUUUGUCAUCAAACCGCAGGGUAUUGGUGAGGCGCUGAAGGUCACUGUGGAAACGCUGUGUGACUGUAACUGCGGGGAACCAGAGGAACACUCUCCCCACUGUAAUGGCAACGGCACACUCAGCUGUGGAAUUUGCAGCUGUGACGAGGGGCGCCUGGGCCAGCGGUGCAAUUGUGAGAAGCACGGGGACAAGGACAGCGUGGCGGCCAUGGAAGCCCAGUGCCGGCAGACUAACGAGUCCCAGCUGUGCAGCGGGCAGGGGUCCUGCGAGUGCGGCGCCUGCGAGUGCCGCCCGCGCCACCGGGGGCAGUACUGCGAGUGCGACGACGGCGGCUGCCCCCGCCACAACAACCAGCUGUGCGGAGGCCAUGGUGACUGUAACUGCAGCGUGUGCGACUGUCACGCUAACUACAUCGGCGCCGACUGCGGGUGCUCAGUACUCAAGGAUAAGUGCAUGGGGAAAGAGGGCAAGGAGUGCAGUCGGCAUGGCCGGUGUGUGUGCAAUCAGUGCGUGUGCUACCAGGGCUUCUUCCAGGAUGACUGCUCGGAGCUCAGAGCACCGUGCAAAACCUUCCUGGAAUGUGCUCUGUGCAGUUUGUCAAGUGAGAAGGCCCAAGGUGAGCAAAACUGCAGCCGUCACUGUGGCUCUGUGAAGCCUCAGAGAGCAGACCGGAACCAGAAAUGGGACCCAGACCGGGACUUCCCCUGUCAGCAUACCAAGGUGCGCUUUGGAGUGGAUCCAGAGACGGAGGACGGAAGUAUCCGCGUCAUCUAUACCGACCCCCCAGAGCCCAUCGACAUGACAAUGGUGGCCGUCGGCAGCUCAAUUUCAGGGAUCAUCUUCAUCGGGCUGGCCAUCAUCAUCAUCUACCGGCUGCUUCUGGAGGUGUACUAUCGCAGGGAGUACCACAACUUCAUAACCGAACAGCAGAAGGCUCGGUGGAACGUGGACCCCAACCCGCUGUUCCAGGAAGCCACAACCACAGUCUUUAACCCCAUGCACAUUACAGACUGAUGCCUGCUCUUUACCUUCAUGCACAUUAACACCCUUUAACUGACUUCUCAACCAUGCGGUAGAGCUGACUUUGACAGUGAAAAAACCUAUGAAAAAAAAAAAAAAAAAUCUGCCCAGCAUCCUGAUUGGUAUGGGGCCCCAACCCCCCUUAAUCAAUUUGCAUAAAGAGUAUCUUUUUUCAACACAACUAUGUGGAGCAGCAGUUCCUGCACUUUCCCCACUCUGACAACGGAGGCAGCACCACAAAUCACUCCCCAAAGAUUAGGGCAUAAAGCAGGAAUUUGGCAGGACGACAAUGCCAAGAUUCAUCGGGCUCAAAUUGUGAAAGAGUUGUUCUGGGAGCAUGAGGAAUCAUUUUCACACAUGAAUUGGCCACCACAGAGUCCUGACCUUAACCCCAUUGAAAAUCUUUGAGAUGUGCUGGAGAAGACUUUAUGGAGUGGUUCGACUGUCCCAUUGUCAAUACAAGGUAAUGCAAUUCUGGACGGAAAUAAAUGUUGUGACGUUUCGAGGGUUAUCGAAACAAUGCCAUGACGAAUGUGCACAAGUUUAAAGUUUUUUAAGUUCUGUUCAUGAGUUUAUACUUAAUACUUAAUAAAAUGACGAUUUAUGAAACGGUGCCUGAUUAUAAAGCAGAAAUGCCACACAAUGGAAUAUCUAUACAUGUAUAUAGAUGUUUGUUCCAAAUCGUAGUUAAUGAUAUGUUCGAUAUGAAAUAUGUAAUCAAAAUGAAAUCAAUGAUACCUGGAAUGAAUGUUUUUUUUUACAUACAUAUUUAAACUGUUUUGUUCAUAGAAACAAAAUAGUUUAAACUUAUAAAAUGACAAUUAGUGUCCGAUUUUAAAGCAGAAAUGCCAUAUGAUGCAGUAUAUGUCAAUAUAUACAUAUUUGUGGACCUAGUUAUUGUAAUUGAUUGACAUUUACAGGCCAAAAACAUGUUGAUGGAGUGUAAAAAAAGCAAUGAACUGUUUUAAGGUUUUAAAGAGAGAUUAAAAUGAUUGUGUUUCAGGAAAAAUGUUCAUAAAUAUAGUGAAUAGCAUCUUUUACCAUAAACUGACAUCUCAACUGUACGGUAGAGGUCUAAUUUCUAAAAAAAAAAGGGUCAAGUUAUGAAAAAAACUGUUAGACAUUGUUAUUUGGUGCUCUGGCACCUAUUUCAAUGAGUGACAGAUAAAAGGUUAAAGACUGAGGUGUCAGAGGCCUGUUCGUUAAAAACAACAGUGGUGGUGGUGGAC